GGGAUGGGUCCAGACGGCGAUAUACUCCGAACCUGGUCAGGUCUUGACGGAAGCAGCCAUAAGGGGUCUCUGACGAGCGUCUGGGCCUAUCUCAUU
rnacentral:SRP_RNA from 1 species